AUUUCUAAAAUUUGAUUCAAGCUGUUAAUUUCCAUACUUAAGCUUAUUUUAAGAACAAACUUUCGGUCCUCUGUACUCUUGUCCAUAACUACUUGAAUGGUAUCAAACAUAUACUACAAGACUAAUAUUUAAUAUGGACACAUGGACUCAUGUUAAUCUUUCUUUACAAUAAUAAAGCAAAUUUAGACCGAACUUCUUAUAGGUACAUUUUAUUUAUUAGUUAUGAGGAGUGAGUGAUUUUGUUUGAUGGUGAAUUAAGAUAUAGUUAUUGUGAUGAGUUAUUAGGUGAUGUUGGAGUUCAACGAAGUAAUUUAUCAAGAGAUUAUGGAAAGCUUCGACUUAGUGCAGGAUUCUAAGACCUCAAGUUGAAGUUCAUUGAGAAAAGAAAAAUGACAUUGUGAGAGACAUUAAAAUAAAGAACGUUAGUGCUGAUUGGUGGUCUGGUUUUAUUUUUUUGAAGUCCGAAGAGAAAGAUCUCUUUGAUAUGUAUUGAUGACGUCAUUGGAGUACUCUCUAGCUGACAUGUAUCUUAGUGUUUGACCAGCUCGUGAUUAUUUGUGGGUUAGAGUAUUUUGUAGGAAUUUAUUUUUUUAUCAUUUUAAAUUGAAAAAUUGUACGAUACUUAUGUGAAAUGGAAAUGUUUUAUAUUUGAAAAUCCUUUGAGCAAAAUUACUAGAUGAUUGUUUGAUAUAAGUGAUGCACAUUAUUUAUGGGCUUACCUCCGAUUUACAUAAAGUGUA